UUGUCCUUCAACAGACUCCAUCCUCCUAUGCUGCUCAAACGAAACAAAGACACGAGUAACAAAGAUUCCAGGAAGCCUGCAUACUGCAGUCCACAACAACGCGUUCACAGCGACAGUCUCACAACUUCCCUGGCCGCAACUUCUUGAUGAUCGCAUUCGGCGGAACAAGAACUGCUGCAUUUCCAGCUUCACGACGCCCAAUUCUCCAUUUCAGGCAAGUACUUAUUAGAGACCAGAAAUAAAACAACAGGAUAACGCUACGCAGAGAAGAGUAAACAGUGCAAACACGACAAUCUUAUUUGGUAAUCAGGGAAGCUCGGAGUGAUAUUGAUUUGCAUGGCGUAACGAAUUCGUGUAGAAGAAGAAUUGACUCGAAGAAUGGACGUCAACGGAAUCAGUAAA